rnacentral:rRNA from 1 species
GGAAGGUGGGGGGGUGCUUACUUUGCAGUCGAACGGUGAAGCCCAGCUUGCUGGGUGGAUCAGUGGCGAACGGGUGAGUAACACGUGAGCAAUCUGCCCCUGACUCUGGGAUAAGCGCUGGAAACGGCGUCUAAUACUGGAUACGAACCGUGGAGGCAUCUUCAACGGUUGGAAAGAUUUUUUGGUCAGGGAUGAGCUCGCGGCCUAUCAGCUUGUUGGUGAGGUAAUGGCUCACCAAGGCGUCGACGGGUAGCCGGCCUGAGAGGGUGACCGGCCACACUGGGACUGAGACACGGCCCAGACUCCUACGGGAGGCAGCAGUGGGGAAUAUUGCACAAUGGGCGAAAGCCUGAUGCAGCAACGCCGCGUGAGGGAUGACGGCCUUCGGGUUGUAAACCUCUUUUAGCAGGGAAGAAGCGAAAGUGACGGUACCUGCAGAAAAAGCGCCGGCUAACUACGUGCCAGCAGCCGCGGUAAUACGUAGGGCGCAAGCGUUAUCCGGAAUUAUUGGGCGUAAAGAGCUCGUAGGCGGUUUGUCGCGUCUGCUGUGAAAUCCCGAGGCUCAACUUCGGGUCUGCAGUGGGUACGGGCAGACUAGAGUGCGGUAGGGGAGAUUGGAAUUCCUGGUGUAGCGGUGGAAUGCGCAGAUAUCAGGAGGAACACCGAUGGCGAAGGCAGAUCUCUGGGCCGUAACUGACGCUGAGGAGCGAAAGGGUGGGGAGCAAACAGGCUUAGAUACCCUGGUAGUCCACCCCGUAAACGUUGGGAACUAGUUGUGGGGUCCAUUCCACGGAUUCCGUGACGCAGCUAACGCAUUAAGUUCCCCGCCUGGGGAGUACGGCCGCAAGGCUAAAACUCAAAGGAAUUGACGGGGACCCGCACAAGCGGCGGAGCAUGCGGAUUAAUUCGAUGCAACGCGAAGAACCUUACCAAGGCUUGACAUAUACGAGAACGCUGCAGAAAUGUAGAACUCUUUGGACACUCGUAAACAGGUGGUGCAUGGUUGUCGUCAGCUCGUGUCGUGAGAUGUUGGGUUAAGUCCCGCAACGAGCGCAACCCUCGUUCUAUGUUGCCAGCACGUAAUGGUGGGAACUCAUGGGAUACUGCCGGGGUCAACUCGGAGGAAGGUGGGGAUGACGUCAAAUCAUCAUGCCCCUUAUGUCUUGGGCUUCACGCAUGCUACAAUGGCCGGUACAAAGGGCUGCAAUACCGUGAGGUGGAGCGAAUCCCAAAAAGCCGGUCCCAGUUCGGAUUGAGGUCUGCAACUCGACCUCAUGAAGUCGGAGUCGCUAGUAAUCGCAGAUCAGCAACGCUGCGGUGAAUACGUUCCCGGGUCUUGUACACACCGCCCGUCAAGUCAUGAAAGUCGGUAACACCUGAAGCCGGUGGCCCAACCCUUGUGGAGGGAGCCGUCGAAGGUAAUCGGAUAUU